AGCCAAGGGAGAGCUAAACCAGAAAAUUCCUCCACCCUCUCUCCUCAAUUUCUUGCUCAAUUUCCUCCAAAUUUCACAUGCAACCCUCAAAUCAUUUGGUGAUCAAGAUAAGCUACGAAUAGAGCUAACUCACACGGUUUUUCUCCAGCUCAAAGUGACCGAAAUUCUCUGCCUUGGCUCUCUAAGAAAGCUCGCACGAGGACCUUCAAGAGGAUCCUACGGUAGACGCUUGAACUCCAAGUAACAUUUCUCCUUGAUUGACUGGGAUUGAACUCGGAGAUGUAUUGGAGAAACCCUCCUAAUAUACUCUUGUCUUAGAGUUUCCAUUAUAUUUUGGCUAUACCCUUGGUUUUGGGUUGUACUUUUGGAAUUGAAAUGUAA